CAAUUAUUGUGAAUUUGUAUUUGAUUUUUAAUUAGCCUGGUAAAAGGGGAUUUAAAAAAAUUUUUAUACUUUCAUAAUUAAUAGUCUGACACAUUACCUUUAAUAACUGGAGAAUAUAUCUCACCACUGUGUUUUUCCCAUCUCCUCUCUUCUUCAUUCCUUUCUCGAGGAUGCAGAGAGAGAGAGGGGCUGUCGCCAGCUUCAUUCACUAUGUUUCGAAAAGAUGUUUUCUAUCGACGUUCUCGAAUGGAUUUCGCUUGGUUUCCCAAAGUUAAGUACUGGGUAGCUGCAGGAACAGGGUAGGACAGCCCAUACAGAGUACUGGGUAGCUGCAUGAACAGGGUUGGGAGCUCCCAUGGCAUACAGAGUACUGGGUAGCUUAACAGGGUAGGAGAGCCCAUGGUAUACAGAGACUGGGUAGGAACAGGGUAGGAGACCCAUACAGAGUACUGGGUAGCUGCAGGAACAAGGUGGGAGAGCCCAGGGCAUACAGAGUACUGGGUAGCUGCAGGAACAGGGUAGGAGAGACCACGGCAUACAGAGUACUGGGUAUCUGCAGGAACAAGGUGGGAGAGCCCAGGGCAUACAGAGUACUGGGUAGCUGCAGGAACAAGGUAGGAGAGCCCAUGGCAUACAGAGUACUGGGUAGCUGCAGGAACAGGGUAGGAGAGCCCACGCCAUACAGAGUACUGGGUAGCUGCAUUAACAGGGUAGGAGAGCCCAUACAGAGUACUGGGUAGAUACAGGAACAGGGUUGGGAGAGCCCAUGGUAUACAGAGUACUGGGUAGCUGAAGGAACAGGGUAGUAGAGCCCAUACAGAGUACUGGGUAGCUGCAGGAACAAGGUAGGAGAGCCCAUGGCAUACAGAGUACUGGGUAGCUACAGGAACAGGGUAGGAGAGCCCAUGGCAUACAGAGUACUGGGUAGCUGCAGGAACAGGGUAGGAGAGCCCAUACAGAGUACUGGGUAGCUGCAGGAACAGGGUAGGACAGCCCAUACAGAGUACUGGGUAGCUGCAGGAACAGGGUAGGACAGCCCAUACAGAGUACUGGGUAGCUGCAGGAACAGGGUAGGAGAGCCCAUACAGAGUACUGGGUAGAUGAACAGGGUAGGAGAGCCCACUGCAUAUAGAGUACUGGGUAGCUGCAGGAACAGGGUAGGAGAGCCCAUACAGAGUACUGGGUAGCUACAGGAACAAGGUAGGAGAGCACAUGGCAUACAGAGUACUGGGUAGCUACAGGAACAGGGUAGGAGAGCCCAUGGCAUACAGAGUACUGGGUAGCUGCAGGAACAGGGUAGGACAGCCCAUACAGAGUACUGGGUAGCUGCAGGAACAGGGUAGGACAGCCCAUACAGAGUACUGGGUAGCUGCAGGAACAGGGUAGGACAGCCCAUACAGAGUACUGGGUAGAUACAGGAACAGGGUUGG
rnacentral:lncRNA from 1 species